UGCAGCUCGAACGAGAAAGACCGCAAGGAUGAGUACAGUGGCGUACGGGUGAGUAACACGUGGAUCAUCUACCCUUUAGUGGGGAAUACCGCCGCGAAAGUGGCGACAAUUCCGCAUAAUCUCGAGAGAGGAAAGCAGCAAUGCGCUGAAGGAGGAGUCCGCGGCUGAUUAGCUAGUUGGUGAGGUAAUGGCUCACCAAGGCUCAGAUCAGUAGCCGGCCUGAGAGGGCACACGGCCACACUGGCACUGAAACACGGGCCAGACUCCUACGGGAGGCAGCAGUGGGGAAUCUUGCACAAUGGGGGAAACCCUGAUGCAGCGACGCCGCGUGAGCGAUGAAGCCCUUCGGGGUGUAAAGCUCUUUCGGCAGGGAAGAUGAUGACGGUACCUGCAGAAGCAGCUGCGGCUAACUACGUGCCAGCAGCCGCGGUAAUACGUAGGCAGCAAGCGUUGUUCGGAGUUACUGGGCGUAAAGGGUGUGUAGGCGGUUGGAUAAGUGUGGUGUGAAAUCUCCCGGCUUAACUGGGAGGGUGCGCUACAGACUGUCUGACUAGAGUGUGGGAUGGGAAAGUGGAAUUCCUGGUGUAGCGGUGAAAUGCGUAGAUAUCAGGAGGAACACCGGUGGUGUAGACGGCUUUCUGGACCAUAACUGACGCUGAGACACGAAAGCGUGGGUAGCAAACAGGAUUAGAUACCCUGGUAGUCCACGCCCUAAACGAUGCAUAUUUGGUGUGGGUCAUUCAUUUGAUCCGUGCCGGAGCUAACGCGUUAAAUAUGCCGCCUGGGGAGUACAGUCGCAAGGCUGAAACUCAAAGGAAUUGACGGGGGCCCGCACAAGCGGUGGAGCAUGUGGUUCAAUUCGACGCAA
rnacentral:rRNA from 1 species